rnacentral:rRNA from 1 species
AUGACUGCUCCAGUAGUCAACAGUAAACACAAGGUAUCCAACAGACAUACCUCAGAGAAUGUUAGAGACAAAGUGCGUUGCUUCUUUCGGCUGGCAAAGAUAAUUGCUGAGACAGCCUCACUGGAAUUGGUAGCCAAGGGCAUCGCAAUGAAGGAAAUGAAAAAAGAUGGUAUACUGGUAGCACUUGAAAAGUUGUGCACAGCAUCAACAAGUGGGUCUGCAAAUGCAGCUGCCAUUGCAGUUCCGAGAAGCAAAAGUGAAAUGGCCUUGAAGCAUGUCCAGGUUGGAUUUUCAAUAGAUUCACCAUCAUCUUCAUGCUUGUCAAGCAGUGCAUUAUGUUCUUCCCCUGUUGUCUGCACAAUUGUAGGAUGGCGCAAUUUAUCUUUAUGGACAAAACAACUGCGCAAACAUGUGACUACAAACUUACAAUGUGAAAAUCAUCCAUAA